UUUGAAUCAACUCAGGUUGAACAGUCAGAUGAGCCAAGCAUAUAACUCUCUUUAGGUCUUGAAGUCGUACAUGUUGUGCGGCCUUUAUUACCCUGUAUUAUGAAACUAUUAGCUGGGCUAAUAUACCUGCACUUUUUUUGUUGAGUGCAUUGGCUACCACGUUGCCCUUAUCCGGGUGAUACAAGAUAUUAUAAUUGUAGUCCUUGAGGAGUUCUAUCUAUCCUCUUUGACGCAUGUUGAGAUAGAUUUGAGUAAAUAUGUGUUUCAAGUUCUUAUGAUCGGUAUAGAUCUAAAAAGCUUCCCCAUAUAACUAAUGGCGUCAAGUCUUCAAG
rnacentral:lncRNA from 1 species